CCCGCCCUCCAAUCUAACCACGCCCCCCUUCCCGCCCUGCCCGGCGGCCGGAAGUGUCGCGCGGCGCCGUUAGACGCGUGGGCAGCACCGGGAGCGCGAUGAUCACGGACGUGCAGCUCGCCAUCUUCGCCAACAUGCUGGGGGUCUCCCUCUUCCUCCUCGUGGUGCUCUACCACUACGUGGCCGUCAACAACCCCAAGAAACAGGAGUGAGACAUGGACGGCACCGGUACCGGCACCGCACCCCCACGGUGAGCCCCGGCACCGGUACCGGCACCGCACCCCCACGGGCUGCGCCGAACCGAGCCCCGAGCCCCUCACCCGUGGGGGUGCCCGGACCGCCCCCCACCCCCAGCACGCUCAUGGCUCCCUGGUGCCCACUCGGUUCUGGUGCCGGUCCGAGGCCGUGCUCCUUCUGAACAAACUUUAACACCAACACGAUGGUUCCAGACUAAA